AUAGAGGCUGUGAUGUUGAAUACUACCUAUUUGCUGAUCUGGAAUUAUCCUCUGUGAUUAGAAAACACCAAUGGAUCCUUCUGAGCCUUUUU